AAACCAACCGGGAUUGCCUUAGUAACGGCGAGUGAAGCGGCAAAAGCUCAAAUUUGAAAUCUGGUACCUUCGGUGCCCGAGUUGUAAUUUGUAGAGGGCGACUUUGGGGCGGCUCCUUGUCUAUGUUCCUUGGAACAGGACGUCAUAGAGGGUGAGAAUCCCGUGUGGCGAGGAGUGCGGUUCCGUGUAAAGCGCUCUCGAAGAGUCGAGUUGUUUGGGAAUGCAGCUCUAAGUGGGUGGUAAAUUCCAUCUAAAGCUAAAUAUUGGCGAGAGACCGAUAGCGAACAAGUACAGUGAUGGAAAGAUGAAAAGAACUUUGAAAAGAGAGUGAAAAAGUACGUGAAAUUGUUGAAAGGGAAGGGCAUUUGAUCAGACAUGGUGUUUUGUGCCCCUCGCUCCUUGUGGGUGGGGGAAUCUCGCAGCUCACUGGGCCAGCAUCAGUUUUGGCGGUCGGAUAAAACUAGAGGAACGUAGCUUGCUUCGGGAAGUAUUAUAGCCUCUGGUAAUACGGCCAGCCGGGACUGAGGAACGCGAUUCGUCAAGGAUGCUGGCAUAAUGGUUAUAUGCCGC
rnacentral:rRNA from 1 species